UGAGAGAGUGGUGACCACAGUCCGAGCACUUCAGCAAUGGUGACCGACCGAGAACAGGGGCGGAAAGAGCUUCCGACGGUGGCCAUGGAAAUGGGAACGGUGACGAUUGGUUGAGGUUGGCAGUGGCCGACAGUGUCCGGAGGGCAAUAGAGAAGAAAUUUCGAUGAAGAGGUCUCUGGAAAUUCAGAAAAAAGACCGAGAAUCGAUGCUGUUGACUGAAUUGUAAAAUGAAAUCCAUAGAACGAGAGACAGCUUACCUUCAAAAUUGUUGCAGUAACCGAAUGAUGAAGAGCUCGAAGCGAAGAAUCCAAUUCUGAUCGAGUUUCAGUCACGGCGAUUCUCCUCCGUCGGGGAACGAAGAUGACAGAAACCGAAGGAGAAGGCAGUGACAAAAACG
rnacentral:lncRNA from 1 species